AUCCCAUGGUUUGGGCACUUCCUUAAUAAGUCCUUGAAUCUCUCCCAGGCUUCAUAAAGAGAUUCGUCGUCAUGUUGGGUGAAGUUGUUGAUGUCAGCUCUCAGCUU